AGAGAAGCUCCCAUCACUUCAACACCAACCAUGUUGUCUGUAGCUCUGCUGCUGCUGCUGCUGCUGGCUGCUGGAUCCUGUGUGAAGGGUGAACAGUUGACUCAGCCAGCCUCUGUGACUGUGCAGCCAGGUCAACGUCUGACCAUCACCUGUCAGGUCUCUUAUUCUCUUGGCAGCUACCGCACAGCUUGGAUCAGACAGCCUGCAGGGAAAGGACUGGAGUGGAUUAGUAGGGACGAAGAUGUCAAAGAUUCACUGAAGAACAAGUUCAGUAUCAGUUUAGACUCUUCCAGCAACACAGUGACUCUAAACGGACAGAACGUGCAGCCUGAAGACUCUGCUGUGUAUUACUGUGCCAGACAGCCACAACAACACAAACCAUCAGUAGACCUGAACAAAAACCCCUCAGUGCCUGAACACUUGUAA